rnacentral:rRNA from 1 species
AUUGAACGCUGGCGGCAGGCCUAACACAUGCAAGUCGAGCGGAUGAAGGGAGCUUGCUCCUGGAUUCAGCGGCGGACGGGUGAGUAAUGCCUAGGAAUCUGCCUGGUAGUGGGGGAUAACGUCCGGAAACGGGCGCUAAUACCGCAUACGUCCUGAGGGAGAAAGUGGGGGAUCUUCGGACCUCACGCUAUCAGAUGAGCCUAGGUCGGAUUAGCUAGUUGGUGGGGUAAAGGCCUACCAAGGCGACGAUCCGUAACUGGUCUGAGAGGAUGAUCAGUCACACUGGAACUGAGACACGGUCCAGACUCCUACGGGAGGCAGCAGUGGGGAAUAUUGGACAAAGGGCGAAAGCCUGAUCCAGCCAUGCCGCGUGUGUGAAGAAGGUCUUCGGAUUGUAAUGCACUUUAAGUUGGGAGGAAGGGCAGUAAGUUAAUACCUUGCUGUUUUGACGUUACCAACAGAAUAAGCACCGGCUAACUUCGUG